ACAGGGAUUGCCCUAGUAACGGCGAGUGAAGCGGCAACAGCUCAAAUUUGAAAUCUGGCGUCUUUGGCGUCCGAGUUGUAAUUUGCAGAGGGCGCUUUGGCAUUGGCAGCGGUCCAAGUUCCUUGGAACAGGACGUCACAGAGGGUGAGAAUCCCGUACGUGGUCGCUAGCCUUUACCGUGUAAAGCCCCUUCGACGAGUCGAGUUGUUUGGGAAUGCAGCUCUAAAUGGGAGGUAAAUUUCUUCUAAAGCUAAAUACUGGCCAGAGACCGAUAGCGCACAAGUAGAGUGAUCGAAAGAUGAAAAGCACUUUGGAAAGAGAGUUAAAAAGCACGUGAAAUUGUUGAAAGGGAAGCGCUUGCAGCCAGACUUGCCUGUAGUUGCUCAUCCGGGUUUUUACCCGGUGCACUCUUCUAUAGGCAGGCCAGCAUCAGUUUGGGCGGUUGGAUAAAGGUCUCUGUCAUGUACCUCUCUUCGGGGAGAACUUAUAGGGGAGACGACAUGCAACCAGCCUGGACUGAGGUCCGCGCAUCUGCUAGGAUGCUGGCGUAAUGGCUGUAAGCGGCCCGUCUUGAAACACGGACCAAGGAGUCUAACAUCUAUGCGAGUGUUUGGGUGUCAAGCCCGAGCGCGUAAUGAAAGUGAACGGAGGUGGGAACCUUUCGGGGUGCACCAUCGACCGAUCCUGAUGUCUUCGGAUGGAUUUGAGUAAGAGCAUAGCUGUUGGGACCCGAAAGAUGGUGAACUAUGCUUGAAUAGGGUGAAGCCAGAGGAAACUCUGGUGGAGGCUCGCAGCGGUUCUGACGUGCAAAUCGAUCGUCAAAUUUGGGCAUAGGGGCGAAAG
rnacentral:rRNA from 1 species